rnacentral:rRNA from 1 species
UACGAAGGGGGCUAGCGUUGUCCGGAAUUAUUGGGCGUAAAGAGCUCGUAGGCGGUUUGUCGCGUCUGCUGUGAAAACCCGAGGCUCAACCUCGGGCCUGCAGUGGGUACGGGCAGACUAGAGUGCGGUAGGGAGAUUGGAAUUCCUGGUGUAGCGGUGGAAUGCGCAGAUAUCAGGAGGAACACCAAUGGCGAAGGCAGAUCUCUGGGCCGUAACUGACGCUGAGGAGCGAAAGCAUGGGGAGCGAACAGG